UACGGGGGGGGCAAGCGUUGUUCGGAAUUACUGGGCGUAAAGGGUUUGUAGGUGGCUUGUUAAGUCAGACGUGAAAUCCCUCAGCUUAACUGGGGAACUGCGUCUGAUACUGGCGAGCUUGAGUGCAGGAGAGGAACGCGGAAUUCCAGGUGUAGCGGUGAAAUGCGUAGAUAUCUGGAGGAACACCGGUGGCGAAGGCGGCAUCCUGGACCGGUAUUGACGCUGAGGCGCGAAAGCUAGGGGAGCAAACGGG
rnacentral:rRNA from 1 species